GAUGAACGCUGGCGGCGUGCCUAAUACAUGCAAGUCGAGCGAACAGACGAGUAGCUUGCUCCUCUGACGUUAGCGGCGGACGGGUGAGUAACACGUGGAUAACCUACCUAUAAGACUGGGAUAACUACGAGAAACCGGAGCUAGUACCGGAUAAUAUAUUGAACCGCAUGGUUCAAUAGCGAAUGACGGUUUUGCUGUCACGGAUAGAUCUAACCGCGCCGCAUUAGCGAGUUGGUAAGGUAACGGUUUACCAAGGCAACGGUGCUUAGCCGACCUGAGAGGGUGACCGGCGACACUGGAACAGAGAGACGGUCCAGACUCGUACGGGAGGCAGGAGUAGGGAACCUUCGGAAAUGGGAGAAAGCCAGACGGAGCAACGCGGCGUGAGCGAUGAAGGUAUUCGGAUCGUAAAACUCUGUUAUUAGGGAAGAACAAAUGUGUAAGUCACUAUACACGUAUUGACGGUACCUAAUCAGAAAGCAACGGCUAACUACGUG
rnacentral:rRNA from 1 species